rnacentral:lncRNA from 1 species
ACUUUCUUUUUUUUAUUUUGUUUAUACUAUUUUUUCUCUUUUUUUAGUUUUCUUUAGUUUUUUUCUGCCUGUUUUUAGUUAUUUUUAGUUUUUUUGUUAUUUAUAUAUAUUUAAAGUGUUUUUUUUCAGAUAUACUUUUCUUUCUGUUUUUUCUAUUUUGUUUAUACUGUUCUUUCUCUUGUUUUAGUUUUCUUUAGUUUUUUUUGCCUGUUUUCAGUUUUUUUUAUUUUUUCCAGAAAUGCUUUUCUUUUCUUUAGUUUCCAAUAUAUCUUUUUUAUUUUUCUGCCUGUUUUAAGUUUUUUUUUUUAGAAAUACUGUUAUGUUUCUUUUUCUUUUAGUCUUUUUUUUUUACAAAUACUAUUCUUUUUCUUCUUUUUGUAGUUGUCUUUAGUUUUUUUUCUGCCUGUUUUAAGUUUUUUUUUUUAGUUUUUAAAAAAUAUUUUUUAAAGUUGUUUAUUUUCAGAAAUACUAUUGUUUUGUCUUUUUGUUUUCUUUAGUUUGUUUUCUUCAGUUUUUUUUUCCUAUUUUUCUUGCCUGGCACCUCUGUCUGGAUGAGUUACUCUUAGUCUGGUCUCUCCCCCAGGACCUGUUUGCCUUGGGUGACCUUUUAGAGGCAUAAAGCCCUGACAACAUAGCUCCUGGGAUCAUUGGGACACACAAACCCCUCCACCACGGUAAGGUGGUAGCUCAAGGAGGGGAAAAAACCCUCACAUGAGAGGGAAAAACCGCAAGGGUUUUUUUUUCUGUGCGAAACACCCGGUUUAGGGUGGGGUUUUUUUUGUUUGUUUUUUUUUUCAAAAAUACUUUUCUUUGUUUUUAGUUUCCUAUAUAUCUUUUUUAUUUUUCUGCCUGUUUUAAUUUUUUUUUAGCUUUUUUUAUUAUAUAUAUAUUUAAAGUGUUUUUUUUCAGAUAUAUUUUUCUUUCUGUUUUUUUAUUUUAUUUAUACUAUUCUUUCUCUUUUUUAAGUUUUCUUUAGUUUUUUUCAGCCUGUUUUUAGUUUUUUUUAUUUAUAUAUAUAUAUAUAUAUAUAUGUAUUUAAAGUGUUUUUUUCAGAUAAACUUUACUUUCUUUUUUUUAUUUUGUUUAUACUAUUUUUUCUCUUUUUUUUAGUUUUCUUUAGUUUUUUUCUGCCUGUUUUUAGUUAUUUUUAGUUUUUUGUUAUUUAUAUAUAUUUAAAGUGUUUUUUUCAGAUAUACUUUUCUUUCUGUUUUUUCUAUUUUGUUUAUACUGUUCUUUCCCUUGUUUUAGUUUUCUUUAGUUUUUUUUGCCUGUUUUCAGUUUUUUUUAUUUUUUCCAGAAAUACUUUUCUUUUCUUUAGUUUCCAAUAUAUCUUUUUUAUUUUUCUGCCUGUUUUAAGUUUUUUUUUAGAAAUACUGUUAUGUUUCUUUUUCUUUUAGUCUUUUCUUUUUACAAAUACUAUUCUUUUUCUUCUUUUUGUAGUUGUCUUUAGUUUUUUUUCUGCCUGUUUUAAGUUUUUUUUUUAGUUUUUAAAAAAUAUUUUUUAAAGUUGUUUAUUUUCAGAAAUACUAUUCUUUUGUCUUUUUGUUUUCUUUAGUUUGUUUUCUUCAGUUUUUCUUUUUUCCUAUUUUUCUUGCCUGGCACCUCUGUCUGGAUGAGCUACUCUUAGUCUGGUCUCUCCCCCAGGACCUGUUUGCCUUGGGUGACCUUUCAGAGGCAUAAAGCCCUGACAACAUAGCUCCUGGGAUCAUUGGGACACACAAACCCCUCCACCAUGAUAAGGUGGUAGC